rnacentral:rRNA from 1 species
GAUGAACGCUGGCGGCGUGCCUAAUACAUGCAAGUCGAGCGAACAGACGAGGAGCUUGCUCCUCUGACGUUAGCGGCGGACGGGUGAGUAACACGUGGAUAACCUACCUAUAAGACUAGGAUAACUUCGGGAAACCGGAGCUAAUACCGGAUAAUAUAUUGAACCGCAUGGUUCAAUAGUGAAAGACGGUUUUGCUGUCACUUAUAGAUGGAUCCGCGCCGCAUUAGCUAGUUGGUAAGGUAACGGCUUACCAAGGCAACGAUGCGUAGCCGACCUGAGAGGGUGAUCGGCCACACUGGAACUGAGACACGGUCCAGACUCCUACGGGAGGCAGCAGUAGGGAAUCUUCCGCAAUGGGCGAAAGCUUGACGGAGCAACGCCGCGUGAGUGAUGAAGGUCUUCGGAUCGUAAAACUCUGUUAUUAGGGAAGAACAAAUGUGUAAGUAACUAUGCACGUCUUGACGGUACCUAAUCAGAAAGCCACGGCUAACUACGUG